rnacentral:rRNA from 1 species
AUGAUUCAAGAAUAUAAUCCGAGUAUUGAGUAUACUCCAGGCAAGGCCAAUGUGAUUGCUGACGCAUUGAGCAGGAAGGCUUACUGCAACAGUCUGAUUCUCAAGCCUUAUCAACCCGAGCUUUGUGAAGCUUUCCACAAACUUAAUCUGCAAGUUGUUCCUCAAGGUUUCCUUGCCAACCUUCAAGUCUCUCCUACCUUGGAAGACCAGAUUCGCCAAGCCCAGCUUCUUGAUGCUAUGGUGAAAAAGGUGAAGAUUGGGAUUGCCAAGAGUCAACCCAAGUACAAGUGCUACCGCCUUGAUGACAAGGACACUCUCUUCUUCGAGGAUCGUAUUGUUGUACCCAAAGGUGACCUCCAUAAAGUGAUCAUGAAUGAGGCUCACAAUUCUCUCCUCUCCAUCCACCCUGGGAGCACGAAGAUGUAUCAGGACCUCAAGCAGGCUUAUUGGUGGACUCGAAUGAAGCGCGAGAUUGCUCAAUUCGUGAAUGAAUGUGAUGUCUGCAGAAGAGUGAAGGCAGAACAUCAAAGGCCAGCGGGUCUCCUCCAACCUCUUGCCAUUCCAAAAUGGAAGUUUUACCACAUUGAGAUGGACUUCGUGACUGGGUUUCCAAAGUCCAAGCCUGGCAAUGAUGCUAUAUUCGUUGUCAUCGACAAACUCACCAAAGUGGGUCACUUUCUGCCUAUCAAAGAGUCUAUCACUGCAUCUCAAUUGGCGGAACUCUAUACCUCUUGA